UUUUUUUUUUUUUUUUUUUUGAGCUUAGAAAAUUUAUUCCUUUUGUUUUUUUCCUUUGAAAUAACACACACAGGCAGGGAGGUGGGGCGCAGUGGAGUGGUUCCAGGGAACAGUUUCCCCACAGGGCUGGGAGGGGGUGGCCCUGCAGAGGUGGGGUGAGGGGGAAUCCAGCAUCCGUGCAGGCUGGAGUGCAGUGGCAUGAUCUCAGCUCAAGAGCU
rnacentral:lncRNA from 1 species